ensembl:lncRNA
AUGAGGAUAUUGGGGUCCAAAGAGCCAAGUCAUCACUGGGGCUUUAGACUGGGGAACCUGGCCUUGGUAGAACUCUUCAGAGUUGCUGAUGUGCCUUUCCACACUCCAGGAGUGUAUGCCAUAAAAGGGUCCCAGUGAGAGUCAUCUUAAAGGUGUUCCCCAAGAGAAUCAUAGGAAUCCAAGACCCACCCACAGGUGGUCCAAGAAAAGCCCAAAGCCUGGGAGGAGGACAGUCCACAUGACCAGCCAGAUGCUGCCUUGCCUGCCUCAGAGGAACUGCCCUUACCAUGUCUAACAGGAAGAACUUCUAGGAAACCACCAAACUGCUAUAAAAAAGGGGGCCAACCACUGUGCAACCACUACAUAGAAGGUACUGCUGCCAGAUUACAAUGUUCUGGGCAAGAAAGAUAAUUUGGGUCAUAAGGUUUCUUCCUCUCUUCCCCAGGAUCUGAAGAGAGGAGGGGAGAAAAUUUAAAUUAAAUGAAGGUUGGAAUUUUGAUAUCACACUGAAUGGGGUUUUAAUUAUUUAACAAUUUCAGGAGAACUUUUAUUACCAGAAAGUACCUAGAAAGCUAUGGAACCUAUCCGAACUCGCUUCAGGGAAAUGAUUUCUGUGGUGGGAAAGAACGGUGCUGGCUGUGGCUUGCUCUCGGGGGGUUCAGCUUAGUAAGCAAACAGGCCCAAAGAGACGCACUUAGAGAACAAUCACUGCAAGUGAUUUUAUGCCUUCUUUCACACAGUUAUUUUUAGAGUACUCAACUUUAUUGUGCUUUGGGAGGUGAUGGCAAUGUACAAGUUAAGCUCAAUCUUGGACAUUGUGAUGUGCUUUUAUUGCUACAGUCUCUAAUUGAAAUAAAGUGGAAGAACAAGGAAAGCGUUUAAAGAGAGCAAGAAAAAUAGCUCACGUGGGCUUUUGGCAAAAGAGAAAAUAUCUAGAUACCAACAUAUACUUAGGACAAAUUAAAAAUACAAUUACAUAUCAAAACGUACAGUUUGUGGAAAAAAAAUUUUUUUUUUUCCGAAAGAGUCUGUAUUAGUUCAUUCUCAUACUGCUAUGAAGAAACACCUGAGACUGGCUAAUUUAUAAAGAAAAGAGAUUUAAUUGACUCACAGUUCUGCAGGGCUGAGGAGGCCUCAGGAAACUUACAAUCAUGGCAGAAGGGGAAGCAAGUAUGUCCUUCUUCACAUGAUGGCAGCAGGGAGAAGUGUGGGGCAAAGGGGGACAGAAAGCCCCUUAUAAAACCAUCAGAUCUCGUGAAAACUCACUAGAACAACAUGCAGGUAACCACCCCCAUGAUUUAAUUACCUCUCACCAGGUCCCUCCCAUGACAUGUUGGGAUUAUGGGAACUACAAUUCAAGAUGAGAUUUGGGUGGGGACACAGCCAAACUAUAUCAGAGCCCAAUGUAUUCAAUAUAUUGGAAAAAUUAUAAUGGAAUGGAAUGUGGCACGUUUUACAUUGAUCUGAGUAUUUUCAAUAUCCCAUUUAUUUGACUUAUUAGCUUUUAGGUCAGAAUCUAAAAAUAAUUUGGGGUCCUUGAUAUAGUCAUGCAACAUUUGAUAUAUUUGCUUUUUUUGAAGUUUCUGUUAAGAAAAUUUAUGAAAUUGAUUCGUUUAAGUGCGGGGGCAUAGAAAUAAAUGAUCUCCUCCAUUACCCAGAAUUGUUUAAAAUCAUUCGGUAGACUCUCAAUAUUUCUUGUAGAUUGACUUUAUUUGUUUGUUUUUGGUCAAUGCAGUAUGGCAGAAUGAAAUGGAGUUAGUUUUAGGACAAUUUUCA